UGAUUCAGCGAUCGCGGUAGAUCGCUAUUUUCCAGCCAUGGGGAUUAAUGGGGAUAAGCUAUACCAUGCAGUUGGCAGAUUUGAAGUAUUCUCGGAGUACAAAUUACUGUAAUUUUACAGUUAGUUUUGUCGUCCUACAAUAAAUCUGUUCACUUGUGGAGAUUUUGUCAUAGAUUUGAAUAGCAGUAUACUGCAACAAUGCCGAACAUAAUUGGGGGUCCGCAUGAAUAGUCUCUUUUCAUUUCACAUUUUCAAUUAACUAUUUGCCCUGACAAUGGCUAAGGAAUCAAACCAUCAAUCUGUGGGUCAAAAGCCGCGGGUUUUGAAAGAGCAAGCAAAAAACACUGGCGAUGAUGAGACAAGUGUCAAAACAUUGACAUGGUGGACAAUUUUCGUAAUUAUAUUAAUAGCAACUAUUGCAACUCGAUUCUACAAGGUGACUGAGCCAGAUCACGUUUGCUGGGAUGAAACGCAUUUCGGUAAAAUGGGCAGCUGGUAUAUAAACAGGACCUUUUUCUUUGACGUGCAUCCACCAUUAGGGAAAAUGCUUAUAGGUCUCUCGGGUUACCUGACAGGGUACAACGGCUCUUUUCCAUUUGAAAAACCUGGCGACAAGUAUGAGGAUACUAAAUAUGUCGGUAUGAGGGUAUUCUGCACAAUGCUGGGUGCAACUAUUGUACCCUUGGCAUUUCUUACUGUCUGGGAAUUGACGCAGUCAUUACCAUCAGCUGUUUACGCUGCUACCUUCAUCUUAUGUGAUGUUGGGCUGCUUACAUUGAAUCAGUACAUUCUCCUGGACCCAAUUCUCUUAUGUUUUAUGAUGUGUGCUUUAUGGGGCACAGCUCGUGUUGGCUCGCUACAGCAUCGACCAUUCACAGCCUCAUGGUGGGGCUGGAUGGCGUUCACUGGCACUUCGCUCGCAUGCACUAUUAGUGUAAAAUUUGUUGGCCUCUUUGUUGUUUUAUUGGUCGGACUCUACACAGUACAUGAACUGUGGAGAGAACUGGGUGAUCUAUCUAAGCCGGUGACUAAUGCCGUUAAACACUUGUUAGCUAGAAUACUGUGCCUUAUAGUGCUACCGAUUAUUCUCUAUAUGAUAUUUUUCUACAUUCACCUGGUAGUUUUGAAUCGAAGUGGAAAUGGCGAUGGAUUCUACAGUUCAGGAUUCCAAUCGCAGCUGCAAGGAAAUUCCUUGCACAAUGCAACUAUGCCUCGUCACUUGGCUUACGGUGCUUCUGUAACACUAAAAAAUCACCGCACCGGGGGAGGAUAUUUGCAUUCUCAUUGGCAUUUGUAUCCCGAAGGGGUGGGAGCUCGGCAACAGCAGGUGACAACAUAUUCUCAUAAAGAUGAAAAUAAUCGAUGGCUUGUUAAAAAGUACGAUACAAAUGAUGUUCCGUCGGAUGCUGUACUGGUGAAACACGGUGACUUAGUUCGGCUGGAACACCUAGUUACACGACGCAAUCUGCACACGCACAAAGAAAGUGCUCCUAUUUCUAAGAAACACUAUCAGGUUACUGGCUACGGAGAGAAUGGUACCGGAGAUGCAAAUGACGUUUGGAAAGUGUUGAUACUAAAUGGGCAAGAAGGUGAUGCUGUAGAAACGGUCACUACCAAGUUCAGACUUGUGCAUUAUCUUCACCACUGCGCCCUUACGAGUAGCAGUAAAACAUUGCCUAAAUGGGCCUACAGCCAGCAAGAAGUAUCUUGUAAUCCGAACAUGCGGGAUAAAAAUUCUUUGUGGAAUAUUGAAGAUAAUGUAUUUGCCAAAUUGCCAAACGUCAGUUUCCAAGUAUAUGCGCCAGGAUUUUUGGAAAGGUUUUUCGAAUCUCAUGCUGUUAUGCUGCAAGGUAAUUCAGAUCUGAAGCCCAAAGAGGGAGAAGUGACCUCCAGACCCUGGCAAUGGCCUAUAAACUACAGGGGACAAUUUUUCUCAGGUAGUAAAAACCGGAUCUAUUUGCUCGGGAACCCAAUAAUCUGGUGGGGAAACAUAGUGUUUCUGAUUCUUUUCUCUCUCGUGUAUCUAAUCGCAUCUGUCCAAGAACAACGGGGAUAUUUGGAAAAUUCGAAUGUUCUGAAGCAGCGUAGAAGAAUGCUGGAAGCUGGCGCUUGGAUGUUCAUAGGAUGGAUGUUACAUUAUGUGCCAUUUUGGGGUAUGGGACGUGUACUUUAUUUCCAUCAUUAUUUCCCUGCCUUGUUGUUCAGUUCUAUGCUGACAGGAAUUACUUUAAACUACAUCGUGGAAACCGUACCAACACUCGUUCCUAACUCAAUUGGGAAUACAAUCUACCAUUCCAUAGCGGGAGUUGUGUUGUCUGGUACCGUAUACAGCUUCUACCUAUUUUCACCACUAGCCUAUGGUAUGGAUGGCCCUUCUGGUUCAGAUCCAGAAAGUUCGCUUCAUUCGCUGCGUUGGAUGGAGUCCUGGGAAUUCUAGAUUAUGCCAUACGACUUCCGCCCAUAUUAUGUAUCAGAAGCAGUACAAAAUCGAGCUCUGUUACGAGUGACUGUCGGAGCUAACGACUUCCCUCGACGGACGUAACAAAAUUUUCGCACCGGGUGCCAGCAGCUAGCGAUGCGUCGUGGCUUCACGGACAGUUUUGGAAUCGUCGAACGGGGCUGGAGGGGGGUGAUGACCAAGUUUAUAUAGGUGUAUAUAACAAAUUGUUGAGAACAAAUAUAAACGAUUACGAAUUAUCGAGGGUUCAUCGUUCACUGAUUCGGUCGGUACUUCGCCGCGAUACAUAGAGAUUUUUUAACGUGAGAUCUUCCUUUAUCGCCAAGUUAUCUCACAUACGUGAUACAUUAGAAGU